AUUGAACGCUGGCGGCAGGCCUAACACAUGCAAGUCGAACGAGAGGCGGACGGGUGGGUAAUGUCUGGGCACCUGCCUGAUGGAGGGGGAUAACUACUGGAACCGGUAGCUAAUACCGCAUACCAUCGGAUGUGCCCAGAUGGGAUGAGCUUGUUGGUGGGGUAACGGCUCACAAAGGCGACGAUCCCUAGCUGGUCUGAGAGGAUGACCAGCCACACUGGAACUGAGACACGGCCCAGACUCCUACGGGAGGCAGCAGUGGGGAAUAUCGCACAAUGGGCGAAAGCCUGAUGCAGCAAUGCCGCGUGUAUGAAGAAGGCCUUCGGGUUGUAAAGUACUGUCAGUGGGGAGGCGUUACCCACAGAAGAAGCACCGGCUAACUCCGUGCCAGCAGCCGCGGUAAUUC
rnacentral:rRNA from 1 species